GCUAUUUUGGCAGAUUAUAUGCCCUAGAUUUAGGUUCUAGUCAAAUAGAGUUUUCUAUAAGUAGUA
rnacentral:tRNA from 1 species